rnacentral:rRNA from 1 species
AGAGUUUGAUCCUGGCUCAGGAUGAACGCUAGCUACAGGCUUAACACAUGCAAGUCGAGGGGCAGCAUGGUCUUAGCUUGCUAAGGCCGAUGGCGACCGGCGCACGGGUGAGUAACACGUAUCCAACCUGCCGUCUACUCUUGGACAGCCUUCUGAAAGGAAGAUUAAUACAAGAUGGCAUCAUGAGUCCGCAUGUUCACAUGAUUAAAGGUAUUCCGGUAGACGAUGGGGAUGCGUUCCAUUAGAUAGUAGGCGGGGUAACGGCCCACCUAGUCUUCGAUGGAUAGGGGUUCUGAGAGGAAGGUCCCCCACAUUGGAACUGAGACACGGUCCAAACUCCUACGGGAGGCAGCAGUGAGGAAUAUUGGUCAAUGGGCGAGAGCCUGAACCAGCCAAGUAGCGUGAAGGAUGACUGCCCUAUGGGUUGUAAACUUCUUUUAUAGAGGAAUAAAGUCGGGUAUGCAUACCCGUUUGCAUGUACUUUAUGAAUAAGGAUCGGCUAACUCCGUGCCAGCAGCCGCGGUAAUACGGAGGAUCCGAGCGUUAUCCGGAUUUAUUGGGUUUAAAGGGAGCGUAGAUGGAUGUUUAAGUCAGUUGUGAAAGUUUGCGGCUCAACCGUAAAAUUGCAGUUGAUACUGGAUAUCUUGAGUGCAGUUGAGGCAGGCGGAAUUCGUGGUGUAGCGGUGAAAUGCUUAGAUAUCACGAAGAACUCCGAUUGCGAAGGCAGCCUGCUAAGCUGCAACUGACAUUGAGGCUCGAAAGUGUGGGUAUCAAACAGGAUUGGAUACCCUGGUAGUCCACACGGUAAACGAUGAAUACUCGCUGUUUGCGAUAUACUGCAAGCGGCCAAGCGAAAGCGUUAAGUAUUCCACCUGGGGAGUACGCCGGCAACGGUGAAACUCAAAGGAAUUGACGGGGGCCCGCACAAGCGGAGGAACAUGUGGUUUAAUUCGAUGAUACGCGAGGAACCUUACCCGGGCUUAAAUUGCAGAUGAAUUACGGUGAAAGCCGUAAGCCGCAAGGCAUCUGUGAAGGUGCUGCAUGGUUGUCGUCAGCUCGUGCCGUGAGGUGUCGGCUUAAGUGCCAUAACGAGCGCAACCCUUGUUGUCAGUUACUAACAGGUUCCGCUGAGGACUCUGACAAGACUGCCAUCGUAAGAUGUGAGGAAGGUGGGGAUGACGUCAAAUCAGCACGGCCCUUACGUCCGGGGCUACACACGUGUUACAAUGGGGGGUACAGAGGGCCGCUACCACGCGAGUGGAUGCCAAUCCCCAAAACCUCUCUCAGUUCGGACUGGAGUCUGCAACCCGACUCCACGAAGCUGGAUUCGCUAGUAAUCGCGCAUCAGCCACGGCGCGGUGAAUACGUUCCCGGGCCUUGCACACACCGCCCGUCA